rnacentral:rRNA from 1 species
GACGAACGCUGGCGGCGUGCUUAACACAUGCAAGUCGAACGGAAAGGCCCUGCUUUUGUGGGGUGCUCGAGUGGCGAACGGGUGAGUAACACGUGAGUAACCUGCCCUUGACUUUGGGAUAACUUCAGGAAACUGGGGCUAAUACCGGAUAGGAGCUCCUGCUGCAUGGUGGGGGUUGGAAAGUUUCGGCGGUUGGGGAUGGACUCGCGGCUUAUCAGCUUGUUGGUGGGGUAGUGGCUUACCAAGGCUUUGACGGGUAGCCGGCCUGAGAGGGUGACCGGCCACAUUGGGACUGAGAUACGGCCCAGACUCCCACGGGAGGCAGCAGUGGGGAAUAUUGCACAAUGGGCGGAAGCCCGAUGCAGCAACGCCGCGUGCGGGAUGACGGCCUUCGGGUUGUAAACCGCUUUCGCCUGUGACGAAGCGUGAGUGACGGUAAUGGGUAAAGAAGCACCGGCUAACUACGUG